UACAGAGACUGCAAGCGUUGUUCGGAUUCAUUGGGCGUAAAGGGUCCGUAGGCGGUCGGUUAAGUCGGAUGUGAAAUCUCACAGCCUAACUGUGAACGGUCAUUCGAAACUAAUCGGCUAGAGGGCUGGAGAGGAGACUGGAAUUGUCGGUGUAGCGGUGAAAUGCGUAGAUAUUCGCAAGAACACCAGUGGCGAAGGCGGCUCACUGGCCCGGUACUGACGCUGAGGUGCGAAAGCGUGGGGAGCAAACAGG
rnacentral:rRNA from 1 species